CCAGAUGAUGGACAGUAAAGAGAUGGCAGCAAAUGAAGUUCAAUUCAACAACAAAGUGUGGAAACACCCAAAGCUCUCACUGUUCAACCAGCAAACCGCUCUCACCUCGUAGCAUCAAACAACAAACCAAGGAUCUGAUCAUGAAGUUUACAACAAACUGGUGAAGAAAAUGGAGCAGCUAAAGAUCUCCUUCAAUGUGAAUGUGGAGACCAAAACCGAGCUACAACGGACCAUUUUAGUGAAGGUACCAGAAACACGAGUCCAGAUGAAGAGAUGCGCUCUUGUCUCCAGAAGAGAGAUGGGCUUCCAUAUGACCAUGGAGGCUAAAGCUGUGGUUCUCUGGUCACUCAUUGGUCCCAUAGAGGUGGUGAUGGAGCAGCAGGACCGGGUCUAGCAGCUCCAGGCCCGGGUCUACCAGCUCCAGGCCCGGGUCUACCAGCUCCAGGCCCGGGUCUAGCAGCUCCAGGCCCAGGUUUCCAGCUCCAGGCCCGGGUCUAGCACCUCCAGGACCAGGUCUACCAGCUCCAGGCCCGGGUUUCCAG
ensembl:lncRNA